rnacentral:rRNA from 1 species
UACGUAGAGACUGCAAGCGUUACUCGGAUUCACUGGGCGUAAAGGGAGCGCAGGCGGAUUGGUGUGUCAGAUGUGAAAUCCCGGGGCUCAACUCCGGGGCUGCGUCUGAAACUACCGAUCUAGAGAUUCGGAGGGGCUAGUGGAAUUCCUGGUGGAGCAGUGAAAUGCGUAGAUAUCAGGAGGAACACCAACGGCGAAGGCAGCUAGCUGGACGAAAUCUGACGCUCAGGCUCGAAAGUAUGGGGAGCAAAAAGG